rnacentral:lncRNA from 1 species
AUAUAUAUAUAUAGAGAGAGAGAGAGAGAGAGUUCGGCUACUAUACUAUCGAUAGUACCAAGCUUUUUGUACUAUCAAGUUUUCUGCCGUUAGAUCUAUCCUUUAAGGAACUAAUAGCAUCCUAACUGCACAUCCUUUCAUCCAACGGCUGAAAACUUGAUAGCACCAACCGCUUGGUACUAUUGAUAAUAUAGUAGCGUAAUUAUAUAUAUAUAAUUGAGCUCAUAAGCUUUUAAAAAUAUCAAGUUAUUGGUGCUUAUAAUUAAGUUUUCGGGCUUUGGAUGAAGUUGUAGGGUUAGGAUGACGGUGAUCCCCAAGAGUUAAGUGGGUGGUUGCUGGAAUAGUAUGAUCUAAAGAGCAGAAUUGAUCAAAGAUCUAAUGGUGAAAAACUUACAAGCACCAAGUGCUUAAUUUGUGCUUUUAAAAGCACCAUAGUUAAACUGAUAUAUCUAUAUACAUAUAUAUAGGU